UCUGGACCAAAAUUCUGAAUUCUUAUAUGAUUAACCAACCUCACUAGACAUGAAUGAAAGAGGAUGAUAGUUGAAUACUAUUAAACUCAUUUAUGUUGAACUUAAAAAUUUUCUAUAUACUGCUAUUUGAUGAUAUGCUUACCUUCCUCACAUUUUUUAUAAUGUUGAAACUGCCUUUGUUUCCUCUACUGGAAUAUGCAGGGGAAUGUAUGUGUUGAAGUUGAAAAAAUUUUCUUAUGAUUGGGUGUUUGCUGUGGACAGUCUAGGUAAGAAUAAUUAAUAUGAGAGAAGCAUACACUGAUUUAGACCAAUGAUCCAUCCAACUAAGUGAUCCAGUUCCUGAUCAUAGCACCCUGGGUUGUCUUAUGGGAUAGUUUUUGUUACUUUUAAUUCUCAAAGGUUAUGAACAUAUACA
rnacentral:lncRNA from 1 species